CGGGAGAUGUGAGAAGGGCCUCAGCUAGGUUGCAGCGAGCGGCAAGCAGUGACCAGAGCUCCUCUGAGAGAGAGAGAGAACGAGCAAGUGGCCUUCUGAUUGCCAAUCUCUAUGUGUACGAUCGAGGAGGUUGGCUUUUCGAGAGGGCUAAAUUGGCUUCGCGAGGAGAUGCUGAGUGGCUUCGCCCCCUUUGUUCCGCAAGGUGCAGCGAAUAAUUUCUCCGAAAUUUGUCAUUCCCCCUCGCUCUUUCAUCGUCAAGAUUGGAUUUUUCUUCCUUUUUGUCAUCUCUUCUCUCAACGAUUGGUGUUAUUGGGUCCGAUGAUGGCAUGGAAUCUUUGAGACCUGAUCUUUUUCAUCUUGGUGAAAACCAUAAGCAUGUUUCUGAGGACCCACUCCUGUAUGUUCAAUUUUUUUUUGUUUUUUUGUUUUCUCGUUUAUACUGGAUGAUGAAAUGCACUGGGCUCCGACCAGUUCUUC